UACAGAGGUCUCAAGCGUUGUUCGGAAUUAUUGGGCGUAAAGAGCUCGUAGGCGGCUUGUUGCGUCGGCUGUGAAAUCCCAGGGCUCAACUGUGGGCUUGCAGCCGAUACGGGCGGGCUAGAGUUCGGUAGGGGAGACUGGAAUUCCUGGUGUAGCGGUGAAAUGCGCAGAUAUCAGGAGGAACACCGGUGGCGAAGGCGGGUCUCUGGGCCGAUACUGACGCUGAGGAGCGAAAGCGUGGGGAGCGAACAGG
rnacentral:rRNA from 1 species